AUCACAGGGCUGUAAGUGCUCCCAGUUAGGAAUGCACGGUUCUAGCUUAGCACCAUUUUCCCUGGUUCAAAUAUUGAGCAGCAAGCCUUUGACGUGGCCGCGAUUGAUCCAGACACCACAGCCGAUGAUUUCAUACAAUUUAUCACCCAACCCGGCUUCCAGACAGUUAUCGAUCUCACGCAAGAUGGUGACAAAGAUCCCACCGUCAACGUAACAGACAAACCUCACAUUCUACCUGAUUCCACUCUGCCGCACGUCGAGAAUCCAAUAGGAUCCAGCGGCGAACCACUUCCUGGACCCAGCGGCGAACCAGCAAGAAAGAAGCCUAGAAAAAUGAAUCGUCCCACCUCUCCGGUAAGCCUUGGACCAGGAGACGAACCACCAAGAAAGACUUAUCGUUUUACAGCGGUGGUCCGACCUGAACCGAACGGCGAACUACCAAGAAAGGCUUAUCGUUUUACCCCGUCGAUCAGUCCUGAGAGCUCUCCAGAGAGUAAAACCCUUUGUCUGACACCACCGAACAGUCCUGAGACCGAGCUGUUUUAUGCAGACUCGAGUAGAAGCCAUAAGGAUGACGUGAAUACCUGGGGUACGUCUCAAAUCGAUGCUUGGGACCAGAGUUCUUGGACGAGCGAACGUGACGAGGUGUCAACCACCAACAUGGGUCAAACACCAUAUCCUUCUCGCUCACCGUCGUCGGAAGUAGUAGAAGUGGAAGAAGUGUCUGCGCCUCAACCGGUUGAUGAACCAUUCGAUGAUCUGCCUCCGACUCAUAGGCCAAUUAAUUCAAUAGAAUCAUUUGGUCAAGAGUUUCGCGACGCGCAGGUUGACAAAAAAAUGGAGGGGUCAGAUGACUUACGUCAAUCAGACCAAUCCUCCACAGAGCUGACGCCGGACGAGAUCGAAAUGCUAAGUAUACUGUCGGAAUCUUUAGAACAGUAUUUGUUUAAUAUAGAAUCCCCUGCUAUUUUGGAUCUUUUUGAAUUAGCCGUAAAUCCAAAUAUGAAUUUGUUUGAUCCUCUGCUAAGCCUAGACAACGAUCCCAUUGUACAACACGGCAAAAAAAUACUCUCACAUUACAAAACAAAUCAGUUGGAAAAAGGUUUGUAUAUCAUUUCAAAGAAAAUUGGAAACAUUGUUUAGUUGUAUGAUUGCUGGCAAACUUUGUACGAUGAUUUACUUCAAUUGUAUGACAUUAAAUUUAUACAAGGAAUACCCCAGAGUCUGAAUGAUGAUGAUUUACUGCCUGUUACCACCGCUACCCUUCUCGUGGUCGACGAUCUGAUGGAGCAAGCUUGCGCUAACGUUGAACUGCAGCGCGUGUUCACUCAAUACUGCCACCAUCGUAAUCUCAGUUCUAUUUACAUAGUGCAAAAUUUAUUUGCGCAGGGAAAGUCGAGCCGAACCAUCAGCUUAAACGCCAAUUAUAUGAUCCUCGGUACAUCCAUCAAGUGGCGAUGCUAGGUCUUCAAAUGUUCCCC